UACAGACGCGCCCUCUCUCAUACAAAUCGGGAAACCUCGUCGCGGAAGGUUUUCCUCUUUCUGUCUAUAUUUUCUGUAAAAUAUCCACAUUUUACAGCACAGUUUCGGCGUCUUUUUACUCUAGCUCGUACGUCAAACCACUGUGUGUGUUCAUGGGGUUGCAUUUUGCGUAAAAAAGAAGGUUUUAGUCGGGAAAGGUGUGACUAAAAAUAGAUCACUGCCCGAUAUACUUGUAGGGAAAUCUAGUGAGAGCUUUCCAUUCAUAAAUUACAUUCAUUUGGUGUCGGGCAGUGAAGUAAUACAGUUGGGAGAAGCGAUUUAACCAGUGAAUGUAUUAGUUCGGUGAUAAGGUUCAAGUGCUGACGGGGAUCGAUACACGGGCCCCUGCCUGAGUUCAUCUUUCGAGAAGACACCAGUUCACCGCUCAGAAGAAGAAAUGGCGACGGAGGGCGGUCUGGCGCCUGGUGGCGAUGGAGACAUGCCUGUGGGCGGACCCAAGACGCCGCAGCAGAUCGCCGCCCAGCGUCGCUUGCAGCAGACGCAGGCACAAGUUGAUGAGGUGGUUGAUAUAAUGAAAACGAACGUAGAGAAAGUGCUGGAGCGAGAUCAGAAACUCUCAGAGCUUGAUGACAGAGCAGACGCACUGCAACAGGGAGCUUCGCAGUUUGAACAACAAGCCGGCAAACUCAAAAGCAAAUUCUGGCUGCAAAACUUAAAGAUGAUGAUAAUCGCAGCUGUUAUUGGAAUCAUCAUCUUGGCCCUAAUCAUCGCCAACUUUGUGUGAACAAGUUUCGGUAACCGAAGUUUAAUUUAGAAGUUACAUGUUAUAUUGUUAAUGAAUACUUAGUAUAAAACGUCUGUAAACCACACGUGGAGGAUUGAGGCAGAGGUAUGGAUUUAAGACAGGCGAACCACCCCACCUGCCGUAACAUCAAGGAAGAACUUUGAAACAACUUUAUUUUAAUUUUUCCUAGUAAUUAGUGUUGUUAAUAAAUGUCCUCUGAAUAAUAUAUCACCAAAAAAUAUCAAAUGUUUUGCCUACUAUCUAAAUAUCAAAACUAUUUAUCCUAUCAAAACUUUUAGUAAAUUUCGAAAUCACGCGUCCUUGACAUGAUUUCUUUUAUAUCACUAACAAUGUUCAAUGCUCUGUUUAAUACGAAAUAUAGUAUUUUUAGAUGAUCUUUCUUUGUUAUAAAUUUUACCACAGAAAUUAAUAUUCGCUAUUAGAUAAGACUUAUCAAAAAUACAGUAAUAUCUCUUGAAUACUUUUUACUUUUUCGAACCUAGGCUGUUUGUUACGAAUGCAACGGUAUUUUUUUAUAUUUGGACCAAAUUUCUUGAGCAUUUAUUUUGGGUCGUUUGAUCUUUUAUUUUUUUAACUUUUAAAUUGUUGAACUUUGAUAAUAUGUACUGUCUACCUAUACAAAUGUGUUUAUCUGCUUGUAAAUCCUACCACUUUAUAGGUGUUAUAUGAAUAGAUAUUUACACUUUAUAAAUAUCAGUCCGUUUAUGAAAUGGACGUAUGUUUCGGCUGAUUUCUGUAUUCAAAGUUCCAAGUUAUAACGACUAUAAUAUAACUAGCAUUUUGAUAGCAUAGCGUGUAUUGGGCCCAUGUUAGCACCACGGCGGUUUAGUAAAUUAUUUACGUAAUAUGUUUUAAUCGCUUUAUAGCUGUAAUCUAUAACCGUGAUCUAUAUUUUGAAACGAAAAUUUGUACUUAAUCAAAUUGUUGUUUGUUUAAGUGAAAUUAAAUUAGAACAUAAUUAAGGACUUGUGCUAUUUUGCGUUUUUACAUAAAUAAAAUGUGUAAUCGUAACUGGCCAAUAUUUUUAAAAAUAUAUAAUCUAUCCUGUGUAACGACAGCAGUUAAUGCAUUAAAUAUCUUUUUACUGUGUGUGUACCUAUUAAUGUAUGUAAAAACAGCUUCGUAGUUAGAAAUUGUAAAAAUUCACACUAGGUAAUUAGAUGUUUCAAAUAAAUAGCCACUCAUUAGUUAUAUUAAUCAUUAUGAUAUUCGUGGCUACUUUACAUUUGGUCGUAACUUGAAUGCCCUGUACAUUCACCAAUCUAUCAUUGCACUGCAGCAUGGCGUGAAUGGGAACGAUUAAACUAUAAUUGCCACAUUAAAAAAUACAUGACAGAAGCGACCAAGUGUAGUGGAGCCUUAACAUUUACUAUAAACAUAGAUUUAUAGAAAUUAUUGGGAGGAUUGGCCAGUAACUUACUCGAAAUUUAGAUGAAUGGGAUUUUGGGAUGAAUAUUAUCAAAUUGAGAUCGGUCCUUUAUUCGAGAUCAUGUAUCGAGACCGAUAUUUAAAAGUACGUAAGUUGCACAUCGUUAUUGUUGACAGUCUCAUUAGGGCGAGAUAUUAGAUCGUAAUUAUAAGUAUGACGUCACGAUUUUGAAACACAGUACCUAUUUUGUUGUAGGUUCUAAUUUGGAUGAGGUGAGGUGAUGAUUAACCUUACCUAAUAAUGUAAAAUUUUAUGACAAUAUCUUAUCAUAUUCUGUAGUUAUUUUUCUAGAUACGACAUUAAUGCAAUCUAUAUGAGCUAUGAGAAAAGAAACAUUUCUCCAAAAAUAUGUUUGACUCCAUUUUCAAACAAGCCAAAAAUAAUACUGCUGUACAUUAACGGUUGAAGUCCAAGUUCAAAAUAAUUAAACUAAGUUUAUUUUUUAUUAUUUUAUUAUAUACCUACUAUGUCUGAUCGCCUAGAAUGUUGAUACAUUUAUAGGCACAGUGUAAAUAUUGUUCUUCCAAUACAACUGACAAUAAAUUGUCAUUAUCAUAUUUUGUAAAAGAAAGCAUUGUUAACUGACUAUUGAUUGGUAACAAUGUUUUGGGGAUUCCCCGGGUAAGCAAAAAAUUAUUGAGAUUGCCAGCUAUGAAAGUGUAUCGUAGUCAAUACUGACUUGGCUAAAACAUGCCAACUUCCAACGGGAUUAUAUCAAGUUAUAAGCGUGGUAAAAAUAUCAACACUUCUGCCUAUCUCUUUGGUGAUCAACCAACUGGAUAUUAUGUUUUGAAAGUUGUUAAAAUACUGUGUUUCCAGAACGUUGACAAAAAUAACAUUCACUGUAAGGUAAAAAGAUAACACACCACAAGUAUGUUAUGGGAUUUAGAUAAUAAUUUGGCUGUUACUUAUAGCGUUGUUUACAACACUAUGACGUUAGCGCAACACUAGUCUUCUUCAGUGUUGCCGCGCUAUAUUUUAAACAACAUUGUAGGUAGGUAAGCCAUAGCUAUAAGCAUUGUGGUCAUAAAAUAUAAAUUAAAAUGAAAUAAAAAUGUUGUAACUGAAA